GGGCCCCUAGCUCAUUUGGUAGAGCGCCUCGCUUGCACCGAGGAGGUGAGCGGUUCGAAUCCGCUGGGGUCCA
rfam:Candidatus Andersenbacteria bacterium RIFCSPHIGHO2_12_FTLL_45_11 rifcsphigho2_12_scaffold_33398, whole genome shotgun sequence.